AAGGUACUCGAUGUAUUGUGAGGUUUAAGCAGCGAAAGAGGCGCAACAUUGUUAAUCGUCCUCCGGUCGGUAUAGUUUACUCGAUACUGAGAAUCAACACAGUCGUUCCAACUGUGUGGAUAUGGAUCGAUGGAAACUCUUGCUUCUUCUGCUCCUGCUCCUGCCACUGUGUUGGUGUUUGGACUUUAAAGUGACGGUUGGUAAAGGACCCGAUGCCUUUCCAAUAUGCACCAAUAAACCGCAGAGUGUCUUCACAGUUGAAUGUAAGAUCAGCACAGAAAAGACAAAACACGAGCAGUGCCUGCUGUAUCAACAUUCAUGGGGCUUUGUGAAGCAGUGUGACCUCAGGUUCACACUCAUGAAAGAGAAUGAGACUCUGUUUCUCCGACUGACCAGUUUAACACCAUUGGAUAGCGGCAACUACACCUGUGUGUGCUCACGGCCUGAGAAAACAUAUAUUCUACCGCUGAAUAUCACUGUGGAAGGUACAUUUUUGACUGAUUAAUCAAAAUGUAUUCUGUUAACUUCAGAAUUGAAAUCUUAAUAAUGUCUUGAAAUGUUAAAUUUAAUUCUCAGCCAAUGUCUCUGUGAAUGAUGCAUUUGUUGCAUUUUUAUGGAUUUCCCUUUUUUUGUUUAUUGAUGAGGUUUUGAACAUUUUGACUUGAUUAUUUCCGUUUGUAUGUUAAAAAUGAUUAUGAAGGGAAGG
rnacentral:lncRNA from 1 species